AGCAGGGAAGGAGAAGA
rnacentral:miRNA from 1 species